rnacentral:rRNA from 1 species
CCUACGGGGGGCUGCAGUGGGGAAUAUUGCACAAUGGGCGCAAGCCUGAUGCAGCCAUGCCGCGUGUGUGAAGAAGGCCUUCGGGUUGUAAAGCACUUUCAGCGGGGAGGAAGGCGGUGAGGUUAAUAACCUCAUCGAUUGACGUUACCCGCAGAAGAAGCACCGGCUAACUCCGUGCCAGCAGCCGCGGUAAUACGGAGGGUGCAAGCGUUAAUCGGAAUUACUGGGCGUAAAGCGCACGCAGGCGGUCUGUCAAGUCGGAUGUGAAAUCCCCGGGCUCAACCUGGGAACUGCAUUCGAAACUGGCAGGCUAGAGUCUUGUAGAGGGGGGUAGAAUUCCAGGUGUAGCGGUGAAAUGCGUAGAGAUCUGGAGGAAUACCGGUGGCGAAGGCGGCCCCCUGGAUAAAGACUGACGCUCAGGUGCGAAAGCGUGGGGAGCAAACAGGAUUAGAUACCCCUGUAGUC